AAGUCGUAACAAGGUCUCCGUUGGUGAACCAGCGGAGGGAUCAUUACCGAGUUUACAACUCCCAAACCCCUGUGAACAUACCUAACGUUGCCUCGGCGGGAAAGCCCCGGGCGUUGGCGCAAGCCUCGCACCGGUAUCAGGCGCCCGCCGGAGGACCAAACCAAACUCUUGUAUUCUAAAGAAUCUUCUGAGUAACCAUAAGUUAAUAAAUUAAAACUUUCAACAACGGAUCUCUUGGUUCUGGCAUCGAUGAAGAACGCAGCGAAAUGCGAUAAGUAAUGUGAAUUGCAGAAUUCAGUGAAUCAUCGAAUCUUUGAACGCACAUUGCGCCCGCCAGUAUUCUGGCGGGCAUGCCUGUUCGAGCGUCAUUUCAACCCUCAAGCUCUGCUUGGUGUUGGGGAUCGGCGUAGUGUCCUUCGGGGCGCUGCCGUCCCCUAAAUCUAGUGGCGGUCCUGCCGUAGAUACCUCUGCGUAGUAGUUUUCUCCUCGCUCUGGAAUCUCGGCGGUGCCUUGCCGUUAAACCCCCAACUUCUGAAAGGUUGACCUCGAAUCAGGUAGGAAUACCCGCUGAACUUAA
rnacentral:rRNA from 1 species